CAGUGGGGAAUAUUGGGCAAUGGAGGAAACUCUGACCCAGCGACGCCGCGUGCGGGAUGAAGGCCUUCGGGUUGUAAACCGCUUUCAGUAGGGAAGAAGCGAAAGUGACGGUACCUACAAAAGAAGCACCGGCUAACUAUGUGCCAGCAGCCGCGGUAAUACAUAGGGUGCAAGCGUUGUCCGGAAUUAUUGGGCGUAAAGAGCUCGUAGGUCGUUUGUUACGUCGGAUGUGAAAACCUGAGGCUCAACCUCAGGCCUGCAUUCGAUACGGGCAAACUAGAGUUUGGUAGGGGAGACUGGAAUUCCUGGUGUAGCGGUGGAAUGCGCAGAUAUCAGGAGGAACACCAAUGGCGAAGGCAGGUCUCUGGGCCAAUACUGACACUGAGGAGCGAAAGUCUGGGGAGCAAA
rnacentral:rRNA from 1 species